AUUGCAUAAUGCAGUAGCCACUGGAUUUGCAGCAGAAACACUCUGCUACAGAACAAGUGUCUUGGUUCACAGCAAAGAGGACAAAGAAAACAGCAAGUUUUAGGGGGUUGAAUCCUGGAUUCCCCUGGCAAACACCAUUCUACUUUCCGUCUCUAUGAAUUUGACUACUCGAAGUACCUCAUGUGAAAUGUUGGUGCCAAAUGAACUUUUCUGGUUCUUCUGAAUAUGCCACUGUUGCUGGAGAAAUGUCACUGCUAGAGAACAGAAGACUAUUAUUCCAAAGGGUAUUUGAGACUGACUGAAUCAGGUCUGGAACAUUAUUGAAAUGAGGAUGAAGAGAUCCUCCUAGCUUGGCGGAAUACUCUGCUCUGAUGGAAGUACCAUCCUGGUCCAAACAUGAAAGAAUUCCCAACAUCAAGAUUGAUUGAAACAUAUUCAAUGGGUGGUGACCAGAUGGAUAUAAACGGGCUGUGGAAAAAGAGAAUGCAUGGCCAAAAAUGGUGGUGCUCUCUGUCCAAAAACUGAGGCCCUAUGACCAUGAAUGAAGCCAGAGGGCAGGUAGGAAUAGAUCAUUUGCUCCAGAAGAAGCUGGUUGCCAUGUCUUGAGGACAGUAAACCCUCUGGGGAGGUUCCUGUGGUAAGGAACAAGGGCUCCUGGCAAUAGCCUCUGAGUGAGCCACCUUGAAAAUGGAUUGUCCAGCCCCAGUCAAGCUUUCAGAUGACUGUAGCUCCUGCCAAUGUCUUCACCACAACCUCAUGAGAUCCCAAGCUACAACCACUCAGUUAAGUUAUGCCAAAAUUCCUGAUUCACAGAAAUUGACAUACAGGAGAGGUCACAGUUAAGAUCUUGAUGUUCUAUCUUGACCCAUAAUAUAGGAACUUCAUCUUUUGGGAAGCACCAGGGAGAGCUGCCUGUGCCUGGCAGAAGCUGCCCAUGCCCCACUGAUACCCCACAGUACUUCCUGUUCUGCUUAGUACUCCUGCUUCUUUCUACAAACAACUGUGAUUCUCUACCUGGGAGCUUCCUCUGGCCACAGGAGCCUGCUCACCUGAUUGGGACACCCUAGCAGUACUGGCUCAUAGAUGGAAGGGACUUGCCUUGUCGCUGAUGAGACUUUCGACUUGGACUUUUGAGUCAAUGCUGGAAUGAGUUAAGACUUUGGGGAACUGUUGGAAGGGUGUGAUUGUGUUUUGAAUUGUGAGGACAUGAGAUUUUGAAGAGGCUAAUGGCAGCGUCCCCACCUAAAUCUCUUCUUGAAUUGUAGUUCCCAUAAUCCCCACGUGUCGUGGGGUGGAGCCGGUGGAGAUAAUUGAAUCAUGGGAACACUUUCCCCCAUGCUGUUAUUGUGAUUGUGAAUUCUCACGAGAUCUGAUGGUUGUAUAAACGCCUUCCCUCUUCGCUGGGCACUCAUUUUUCUCCUUCCUGCCACCAUGUGAAGAAGGAUAUGCUUGCUUCUUGUGCCAUGAUUGUAAGUU
rnacentral:lncRNA from 1 species